AUGGUCCAAUGUUGCUUCAAGAGAAAAGCCCCCAUGCUAGUCUUCAAGCUUGAUUUCUCCAAAGCCUUCGACUGCAUCAACUGGGCGUCUCUGCGCGCGGUCACGCUCGCUCGGGGAUUUCUGGUGCUGUGGUGCGACUGGAUGGAUGAGAUCCUCCUAUCCUCCCGCUCCGCUGUGCUCCUCAAUGGCAUCCCCGGGAAGUGGUUCCCCCUUCGAUGCGGGCUCCGUCAUGGGGACCCGGUCUCCCCCUAACUCUUCCUCCUGGUCGUGGACGUGCUCCAACGGCUCAUCCGUGUCGACGACCUGAUGAGCCAUCCCCUGGUGAGCGGCCCCACUGGUGUUUCAGUACACGGACGACACGCUCAUCAUCAUGCGUGCGUGUCCCUAUGCUGCGGCCCGCCUCCGAGCUACCCUCGAUGCCUUCGCCGCUGCCACUGGGCUUGUCAUCAACUACGCCAAGAACACGCUCGUCCCCAUGCAUGUUGA
rnacentral:rRNA from 1 species